AAUACGAGUUACGAUUUGGUUUUCCUCCCACCGAAGACGACAUAACCAUGUUUUCCCUACUUUGUUGAUGCUUUUCACGACAACCCAUUUCGUUGUGCCACUAAGGAUUAAAUGACGGCCUGACCCGGGAUGGCAAAUCCAAAAUCGAUCACAGAUCACCAAUACCACACGUACACAAUAACAACGAUCCGGCCGAUAAAUUGAAACAGAAUGAAGUUACACAAAUGCACGAGAGAUUGAGUUCAAAAGAUUCAAAGUGAUUUGUUUAUUUGGGCUCGUCUUUACUCUCUGACCCCGUAGAAGCGAUCAGAAAGAAUUGGUGAAGUUAUAGUCUAAAGAAAUUUUUCUUUUGUUACUUCUUCGCCUUAUCAGUUUUGACACACUUCAUCGAUUUUCCACCUAUUUUUACUUUUGAAGUUGCCCAUGAAGGAACUCGAGAAAAUAACAAUCCAGAGUAGAUUUUGGCAGAACUCGGCGAUUUUCUUCUUACGUUACUUUACUUGCAGCCACGAUGCAACAGGUUUUUGAUCCAUUCGACUAACAUCUGGCUUUCUCUUCUAUUUGAGUUUCUUCCAACACGUACCCGGCUUCGGACAUGGUAACGCUUGUAUAAAGUACUGCACUGUUAAGUACUGAGAUGCGGAUGAUCGAUAAAAGUGAAACGGCAAAAUUAUGAGAAACAAAUAAACACGAAUCUAUACAUAAGCCAAGUUACAUGAGGAUUGACGAUUGUUUUCCAAUAGUGAGUUUACAAUCUAAAGCAAUGCCAUGGCGAAAUGUCAUGUUUUGUUAACUGAAACAAGAUAAUCCCGUUGCCUGAAGCUAUAAAGAAAUCACUUUUAAAGAUAAUCUUUUGAAUACGGGAGUAAUCCGCGUUUUAAACAAUGCCACAGGACCGUAUAGUCCGGAGGUGUGUCGUUACCUGGGAAGGUGUAGUGACGUUCGGAGACGAUGUUGGACAUUUGCAAACUUUUCCG